CUUGUUGGUGGGGUAACGGCCUACCAAGGCGACGACGGGUAGCCGGCCUGAGAGGGCGACCGGCCACACUGGGACUGAGACACGGCCCAGACUCCUACGGGAGGCAGCAGUGGGGAAUAUUGCGCAAUGGGCGAAAGCCUGACGCAGCGACGCCGCGUGGGGGAUGAAGGCCUUCGGGUUGUAAACCCCUUUCAGCAGGGACGAAGCGAAAGUGACGGUACCUGCAGAAGAAGCGCCGGCUAACUACGUGCCAGCAGCCGCGGUAACACGUAGGGCGCAAGCGUUGUCCGGAAUUAUUGGGCGUAAAGAGCUCGUAGGCGGUCUGUUGCGUCUGCUGUGAAAACUCGGGGCUUAACCCCGAGCCUGCAGUGGAUACGGGCAGACUAGAGGUAGGUAGGGGAGAAUGGAAUUCCCGGUGUAGCGGUGAAAUGCGCAGAUAUCGGGAGGAACACCGGUGGCGAAGGCGGUUCUCUGGGCCUUACCUGACGCUGAGGAGCGAAAGCGUGGGGAGCGAACAGGAUUAGAUACCCUGGUAGUCCACGCCGUAAACGUUGGGCGCUAGGUGUGGGAUCCUUCCACGGAUUCCGUGCCGCAGCUAACGCAUUAAGCGCCCCGCCUGGGGAGUACGGCCGCAAGGCUAAAACUCAAAGGAAUUGACG
rnacentral:rRNA from 1 species